CUUAAAAAUAAAAUGUAAAUUAGGGAAUUAUUUUAAAUCGGUACCGUAGGUUGGGUGACAACGAGCUCUGCCUACUAUUUCCAUGGGUGGCACGAGUGGACUUUCUAUACUUCACGGCCUUCUCGGCAGCGCCAACACCCGCCGCAGCAACUCGUCACCUCCUACCAGUCUCAAGGCCUUAACUUUUGUAAUACUUAACCAUGUUCGCUUCGGUGGCCUCGCAAAAGCCGUCUCCAUUCUCUACUCAUCCACCGUCGCCUUGCCUUUUUCUCUCUACGCCCACCUAUUUCAAAUUUGUUUUUCGAAAAAAGCCAUUGUCGAGAUACGGAAACUCGAAUCUCACCUAAUCAUGUGGAAUCUGAACCCACCAAUCUUUUUGCUUAAUAGGGCCAUUGAGGGCUAUGGGAAGUGUGGCUGUUUGGAUGAUGCCGAGGAACUGUUUGACCAAAUGCCUAAAAGAGAUGGUGGGUCAUGGAAUUCAAUAAUUACUGCGUACUCGCAAAAUGGGAAGGCGGAGGAAGCUCUAGGUAUGUUUUCAAGGAUGAGGAGGGAAGGAGUUUUUGCGAGUGAGGUUACUUUUGCGAACGUCCUCGCGUCAUGUGGCACCUUGUUGGAGCUGGGGCUAUCGGGGCAGGUGCAUGGGCUUGUUGUGAAAUAUGGGUUUUGUGGGAAUGUUAUUUUGGAGAGCUCGCUUGUGGAUGUGUAUGGGAAAUGUGGCGACAUAAGUGAAGCGAGGAGGAUGUUCGAUGAGAUUGAUAAUCCGAACGAUGUCUCGUGGAAUGUGAUUGUUAGGAGGUAUUUUGAGAUGGAUGAGGGAAAUGAGUCAGUGAAGAUGUUUUUCAAAAUGAUUAGGAUGAAUGUGAGGCCGUUGAGUUUCACUGUGUCCAAUGUCCUUCGUGCUUGCUCGAGUUUUCACGGACUUAAGGAAGGGAACCAAAUUCAUGGAUUUAGUAUCAAGAUUAACGUGGAAGAGGAUGAGGAGGUAUCAAAUACUCUCAUUAGCAUGUACGCGAAGUGUGGAGAUUUGGCAAGUGCCAGGACAGUCUUUGACCUAUCUUGUUCCCGAAAUUUGAUUAGUUGGACGGCAAUGGUGUCUGGGUAUGCGAGGAGUGGGCAAACGAUGGAGGCCAGGGAGCUUUUCAAUCAGAUGCCAGAGCGAAACGUGAUAUCAUGGAAUGCGAUGCUGGCAGGUUAUGUGGGCUCCUUUGAGUGGGAUAAAGCAUUGGACUUUGUUAUUCUGAUGCGUAAACGGACUAAGGACAUCGAUCAUGUCACUCUUGGGUUAAUUUUGAACAUAUGUGCUGCAAUUCCAGAUGUUGAAUUGGGGAAACAGGUUCAUGGAUAUAUCUAUAGGCAUGGUUUCUAUUCCAAUCUCUUUGUCGCGAAUGCCCUUCUCGACAUGUAUGGAAAGUGCGGUAAAUUGAGGAGUGCUAGAGUUUGGUUCUGUGAGAUGAGCCAUUUACGAAAUAAUGUUUCAUGGAAUGCUUUAUUAACAAGCUAUGCUCGUCAUGGAAUGAGUGAACAAGCCAUGAUGAUUUUUUGGAAAAUGUUAGAUGAGACAACGCCAAGCAUAUAUACCUUUGGAACAAUUUUGGCUGCUUGUGCAAAUAUAUUUGCACUUGAGAUAGGUAAACAGGUUCACGCAUUUAUGAUUAGAAAUGGUUACAAUAUGGAUGCUGUAAUAAGAGGAGCUUUAGUGGAUAUGUACUCCAAAUGUCGCUGUCCUGAGUAUGCUCUCAAAGUUUUUGACGAGGCUACUUCGAAGGACGUGAUACUUUGGAAUUCCAUGAUUUUGGGUUGUUCACAUAAUGGAAGGGGUGAGAAGGUACUUGAAUUGUUUGCAUCCAUGGAGGAGCAAGGUGCUAAGCCAGACCAUGUCACCUUUCAAGGAAUCUUGCUUGCUUGUAUUUCCGAAGGCCGGGUUGAGUUGGGUCGGCGGUUUUUCAAAUCAAUGACUGAUAAACACUGUCUGAUACCUCGUUUGGAGCAUUAUGAAUCCAUGAUUGAGCUAUAUGGUCAGUACGGAUGUAUAGAUGAGCUUGAUCAUUUUAUAAAUGAGAUGCCAUUUGAGCCCACUGCCCCAAUGUUGAUCAAAGUUUUUGAUUACAGUCGAAAAUAUAAAAGCUUGAAGCUGGGAGAAUGGGCUGCUGAUCAACUUAAUAAAUUAAAUCCUCCUGUUCCAUUCCGAUUCGAAAUCAUUGACAACAAGUAAUUGAUAAACAAUUACUCAAAGAUGUAGAUCAAUAUUUUGCAUCAUGCAUACCCAUACCAUAAUGCCCAACAUAUCUCUGAAGUGUUAAAAGAUUAGGGGUCUGAGUGAUUCUAAACUCUUGAGAACUCCUGGAAGAGAAAAGUGAGUGGCAUCAGUGAAAAAUCGUUUGGGUUUUAAUUUUCGCAGCACAUGAAUGGCUUCAUUUUGUUGCAUUUCAUAUUUUGUCUAUGAAGUACUAUCCUCAAGAACAGUGAGAAUUUCAUGUGGAUUGGGAAGGUGUCGCACAAGGGUAGAAGUGGCUUGAGACUGAUAUGAACACUGCUAGCUUUUUCAGCAACUUAAAAUGUGUAAGCGGCUCAAUUCUAUUGCAUUUUUUUUUAUGACUGAUUUGGUGUCUGGAUUCAAAUAUUUUCUUGUGGCUUGCAUUCAUUACUGAUCAAGAGAUAUAUCUUGGGUUAGAGUACUGAUUGCCAGUCCCACGGAUAAAUUUUGACCAACUUCUCAUUCUCAGAAAUAUCGAACUGCCCUAUUGCCAACUUUGGACUAUCGGCUUUCAUGGUAGAAACUAAGAUUUCCCAUGGAACCAUCAAAUAGGCGCCAAGAUACAAGUUCUUUUUCAUACUUUGAAUCCAACUACAGAAGCCAAGGUAUUCUUUCUUUUCAAUUAUGUCAUUUGUUGCCAAUGUUUUUAUAAUUUGAUUGCAUUAGGGUCCAAAACUUUGUAAAUAAGCUGCAGGGAAGUUUCCUUUACAGUUAACUCCCCUGAGAACUUCUUGAUGGCAACUGAGAGAUAAUUAUAGCAAAAAAGUAGCGUCUGUUUUUUUGGGAUUCGAACUGUAUUUCUAUACUUGGCUUUGAUGUAAGGGCUGCUGUUUCGAGAAAUUCGAUGCUGAGGCUCUGUUCCUGUCUGAAAUUAUUUGCUGUUUUGAGAUGCAAGUAUUCGAUAGCAAAGUAUAUGUCUAGCUUUAUGCAAGAAGUGGUUGAUUUUGGGAUAUAAAGUCACUGUUGAACGUAUAUUGAGUACCAAAGCUUGCCCCGGCUCAGUUUCUUUCAACUUCUAACAUCACAACCCAACAACAACGACCCAAGACAAUAACCAAGCUUUCACUUCCGGUUGCCAAUGAGGUAGUUUACUUAUGAGACCACGAAGGUGCACUAUAUCUCAUAUAUUAUCACCACUAUAAGUAGAAAUCAAAAGGAGGCAGAAUUAGUAGAAGGAAUCUCGCAGAAACCGGCUGAAUAGAGAGAGGUAGAGGACGUCUCUCACCAAGAAAGAAAGCGACCCAUUUUAUCAAGUAAUAAUGGCCCAAAUAUGGUAAGUGUAGCUAAGUUAUUAGUCAAAGUGGAGGCCCAAUAAGUAAGUAAAUGGAUUCACAAGUAAUCUCUUUUAAUUAUGGCCAUCUAAGAAAGCGGAUUGGAC
rnacentral:lncRNA from 1 species